CGGACAGAUGGGAGCUUGCUCCCUGAUGUUAGCGGCGGACGGGUGAGUAACACGUGGGUAACCUGCCUGUAAGACUGGGAUAACUCCGGGAAACCGGGGCUAAUACCGGAUGGUUGUCUGAACCGCAUGGUUCAGACAUAAAAGGUGGCUUCGGCUACCACUUACAGAUGGACCCGCGGCGCAUUAGCUAGUUGGUGAGGUAACGGCUCACCAAGGCGACGAUGCGUAGCCGACCUGAGAGGGUGAUCGGCCACACUGGGACUGAGACACGGCCCAGACUCCUACGGGAGGCAGCAGUAGGGAAUCUUCCGCAAUGGACGAAAGUCUGACGGAGCAACGCCGCGUGAGUGAUGAAGGUUUUCGGAUCGUAAAGCUCUGUUGUUAGGGAAGAACAAGUGCCGUUCAAAUAGGGCGGCACCUUGACGGUACCUAACCAGAAAGCCACGGCUAACUACGUGCCAGCAGCCGCGGUAAUACGUAGGUGGUACGUAGGUGGCAAGCGUUGUCCGGAAUUAUUGGGCGUAAAGGGCUCGCAGGCGGUUUCUUAAGUCUGAUGUGAAAGCCCCCGGCUCAACCGGGGAGGGUCAUUGGAAACUGGGGAACUUGAGUGCAGAAGAGGAGAGUGGAAUUCCACGUGUAGCGGUGAAAUGCGUAGAGAUGUGGAGGAACACCAGUGGCGAAGGCGACUCUCUGGUCUGUAACUGACGCUGAGGAGCGAAAGCGUGGGGAGCGAACAGGAUUAGAUACCCUGGUAGUCCACGCCGUAAACGAUGAGUGCUAAGUGUUAGGGGGUUUCCGCCCCUUAGUGCUGCAGCUAACGCAUUAAGCACUCCGCCUGGGGAGUACGGUCGCAAGACUGAAACUCAAAGGAAUUGACGGGGGCCCGCACAAGCGGUGGAGCAUGUGGUUUAAUUCGAAGCAACGCGAAGAACCUUACCAGGUCUUGACAUCCUCUGACAAUCCUAGAGAUAGGACGUCCCCUUCGGGGGCAAAGUGACAGGUGGUGCAUGGUUGUCGUCAGCUCGUGUCGUGAGAUGUUGGGUUAAGUCCCGCAACGAACGGCACCCUUGAUCUUAGUUGCCAGCAUUCAGUUGGGCACUCUAAGGUAACUG
rnacentral:rRNA from 1 species